CCAAGUAAAUAGACCAAACAGUAACGUCUGCGUAUAAAAAUGUCGACAAAAAACAGUGUCUACCUUUGAAACUGGACAUAGCCAUGGAAGCUCAGAAGAAGAAGUAUAAACUGGUGGUGGGUCUGUUUCUUUUCAUCGUGUUCUUGUUUGAGCCUGGUGUGAGAGCUUGGACUGGUGAAAUCCAUGGCAGAGUCUUUUGUGAUGUCUGUAGCGAUUCCUCUAUCGGUCCUGAGGAUCAUGUUCUUGAAGGUGCUGAGGUAGCUGUUCUUUGCAUCACAAAGUCAGGUGAAGUCCUAAAUUAUCAGGCAUUCACAAAUGCAAAGGGGAUAUACACAGUAGCAGAGACAAUGCCUGAGAGUGACCGCUGGGAUGCAUGCCUUGCACGGCCCAUCAGCAGUUUCCAUGAACACUGUACACAUCUUGGUGAUGGCAGCACAGGAAUCAAGUUCAGCUAUAAUCACCCAUCGGGUUAUUCUCAUGCUGUCAGAACGUUUGUCUAUAGACCUGCCAGUGCGCCAACGUACUGCAUUUGAAACUAUACAGGCUUGGUGUAUAUGUUUAUGUUGAAAUCUGUACUAUGCUUGAACUGAAAACAAAAGUGAGAAAGAUGGUGUGGAUAUGUAUCAUCAAUAUGUGCAUUGUAGUGACCAUCCAAUGUGCGUGCUUCUGUUGGCUGUGCACCUAGGUAGAUUUUGUAAUUGUAUUUAUGCUGAAUGUCUUAUAAAUUAAACCUUGUUAGUUUAAUUAUAAAUUCUAUAAGGUUAUGCUUAUC